rnacentral:lncRNA from 1 species
CUCAGAGACAAUAAAGCUACCCUUCCAAGAUAAGGUAGUCACAGUGGGAUGGAGAGAUAGCCAACACUUUCAUGACUGAGCCAUAUCCCUAGCCUCUGAAGAAUUCUCAUUGUCAUGGUCCACAGGGGGUUGGGGGUUGGGGAAUGGGAACUCUAGGGGGGGAAAGAGGAACUAGGAAUGGGCAGGCAUGGUGCCUACUGGAGUGUGAAAGACAGGAUGGUAUUGCUCAGACAAGGGAAGUGGGAGUGUGGGACAGGCAAGAUGAGGCAGUUGAAGCCCUAGACUGGAGGUCUGAGUAGUCACACCUGUGCUACAAAUAAUGCCCCAAACCACCUCUUACCCAGUUGUGUCAGUCAAACACCUCAAACAUGGAGAUCCUCACACCAGGCAGUGGCAUGUCACCACACAGCCCUGCCUGAUAAAAUGGCCCACAGGGAAGGGGUGUAGAAAGAGGAGAAGCAUUUGGGAA